UGUACAGUGGUUUAAUGGUUAGUACGUUGGCCUCACACCUCCAGGGUUGGGGGUUCGAUUCCCAAUGCUGCCCUGUGCGU